CUCACAUUGAGAUCAGACACGCAGCGGAAUCACCUGGAGAACUUGAAAACCAAGUUUUUACAAACUUCACUGUUGAGAGAUGCUGCUUUCAGUGGAAUCAAAGAAGCACCAGGACAGUAAGACAGAGAUACAUGGUUUCACUGAGAAGAGGUAUCGCCAGAUUAUAUCUGCCAAAAGAUGGUUACUAUAGCAAUAAUUGAAAUGAAAGACACAUGAAAGAACUCGAAGAUGUAGAGUUGCAAUUUGGAAGCAGCCACAAUCCCCGAAUCACUGCUGGUGGAGAAGAACCAUGAAAUGAUGUCUAAUCUACUUGUCCUGUAACAUAAUUAAGAAAUAAGCCUUUGCUGCAUUAAAACCAUGACAUUUUUGUGUUUUAUUGGUAUUGGAAGAUUUUGCUUUCAGGAUUACACUCCAGAAUCAUUAAUUAGGAAAAUUGUCUCUAUCCCUACCCGGACUGUUACCUGCAUCUUCCCUGGGGUUCCCAAAUUGUGAUUUUCAUUUUGUCAUAGCAAUAAAAUGUAUCUGAUGAUAUGUCUACCCAUUCUUUCUUAAUGAUCAAUUGUGCUCUCUUUCAGGGCAAGAUCUA